AACUCCUCAAACUACUUGCUUUUGAUUUGUUUCUAGCCUCUAAUGAUCAUACACUAAGUCCUUAGUUAGAUGCCUAACACGGAAAUGGGACUAGGUGGCCUUUAGGCUUGAUUUUGGAGUUUACUCCCCAAGAACGUUCUUGGGCGGUAAACUCCCGGAUCUUGUGUUUUGGACAUGUAAACAAUGUUAUAAAGCAUAUAACAAGUAUUAAAACACAUUUAGGGAAGUAGACUCACAAUCUGGGAUGAAAACCCGAAGAUCCGUGAGAGAGUAUUUGGCUUUUCUCUAAAUGGAAAUCAAAUAAUGAACCAAUUUGGUUCAGAAUUCUAUUUAUAGUCCAGAGAUUUUUGGCAGAAAAUAUUUCUAUUCUCGGAAUGGAUUCUAAUGACCUAGAGUAAUGGAAUUACAGUGUUGCACAAAAUCCUAGUGCACCCACUCUCCUAAUAACUCCUUAGGUGUAAAACCCUAAAACUGCCAAACUUAUUCCAAAAGUUUGAAUUUUCACUGAAACUGCUCUACUUCCAUUGGAUUGAUGUGGUUUGAUUUGAAUGGAAAAUUUCGGGUUGUCACAGUUAAGGGGUAUGAACUCACCUGCAGUAUGUGACUGGAAUUGAACGGGCUGUUAUCGUACGGAAGGAUCAGACAAGUGCUUGGUGUCAAGUGAAGACUUAGACACACACAAUGAUCCUAAUUACAUAUGAAACAUAUGUAUAUAAAUAAUUAGUGAUUAUAACACUAAUUAUACAAGUAAUAACAUUUAAGCGCGAGGACAACACUUUUGGUCAAGUGCUAGGAGGCUAAUGGGUUGCAACAAAGAAGUGCAAUGCCCCUAAUGAAAGUUUAAGGUCAAAAGACCAUAUUCAUUAGAGUUUACGGCCCAGGGGAGUAAGCUCCUGGCCGUAAACUCUCAAACAAGUCAUGAAAUGGAGUUUAAAAGUACUACAACCUUAGAGGGGAAUUGUUUCAAGGCUAUACAAGUGUUUGGGCACCACAUUGACUCCUUUGGGGAGUUUACGGCCCAAAGACCCUUCUCCCUUGGAGUUUACGGCCGUAAACUCCCUUGGGAGGGUUCUUAUUGUCCUUUCAAGUCUCUAACAUUUCUAGGAACAAGUCUAGGCUUCAAUACUUGGAUCAAGGGAGGUUUAUGGCAUUAAAUGGAACCAUUUGAUGGAGUUUACGGCCAUAGAACUCUUUGGGCCGUAAACUCCCUCACACAUGAGGUUCUAAGAAUUUUAACUAGCCCAAAACUCAUCUAGGUACUUGCCCUAAAAGUCUCUUGGCCUAAGGAAGUGUCUAGGGUGUCCUUUGACCCCUUUAAAGGAGUUUACGGCCCAAGAAAUACUCUUGGCCGUAAACUCUUCAACACUUGAGCUUUUCAUGAUUUUUCUAGGUCCUAAACACAUUAAGGUACUAGCCAAAAAUGAAGACUAAGCCUUAGGAAGAGUUUGAAGUGGUUUUGGCACUUAAUCUUGGAGUUUACGGCCUAAGGAGCAUCUUGGCCGUAAACUCCCUUCCAAAGUUGGUUUCUAAUUGUUUUGUGGGUCUAAAUCAUGAGUUUAAGGCUUCUAGGUUCUUGUUCUAAGGCUAAAGGAACACUAGGCACUCAUUUGUGCCCUUUACUUGGAGUUUACGGCCCAAGAGGUUGUUCCUUGGCCGUAAACUCCUCAAACUACUUGCUUUUGAUUUGUUUCUAGCCUCUAAUGAUCAUACACUAAGUCCUUAGUUAGAUGCCUAACACGGAAAUGGGACUAGGUGGCCUUUAGGCUUGAUUUUGGAGUUUACUCCCCAAGAACGUUCUUGGGCGGUAAACUCCCGGAUCUUGUGUUUUGGACAUGUAAACAAUGUUAUAAAGCAUAUAACAAGUAUUAAAACACAUUUAGGGAAGUAGACUCACAAUCUGGGAUGAAAACCCGAAGAUCCGUGAGAGAGUAUUUGGCUUUUCUCUAAAUGGAAAUCAAAUAAUGAACCAAUUUGGUUCAGAAUUCUAUUUAUAGUCCAGAGAUUUUUGGCAGAAAAUAUUUCUAUUCUCGGAAUGGAUUCUAAUGACCUAGAGUAAUGGAAUUACAGUGUUGCACAAAAUCCUAGUGCACCCACUCUCCUAAUAACUCCUUAGGUGUAAAACCCUAAAACUGCCAAACUUAUUCCAAAAGUUUGAAUUUUCACUGAAACUGCUCUACUUCCAUUGGAUUGAUGUGGUUUGAUUUGAAUGGAAAAUUUCGGGUUGUCACAGUUAAGGGGUAUGAACUCACCUGCAGUAUGUGACUGGAAUUGAACGGGCUGUUAUCGUACGGAAGGAUCAGACAAGUGCUUGGUGUCAAGUGAAGACUUAGACACACACAAUGAUCCUAAUUACAUAUGAAACAUAUGUAUAUAAAUAAUUAGUGAUUAUAACACUAAUUAUACAAGUAAUAACAUUUAAGCGCGAGGACAACACUUUUGGUCAAGUGCUAGGAGGCUAAUGGGUUGCAACAAAGAAGUGCAAUGCCCCUAAUGAAAGUUUAAGGUCAAAAGACCAUAUUCAUUAGAGUUUACGGCCCAGGGGAGUAAGCUCCUGGCCGUAAACUCUCAAACAAGUCAUGAAAUGGAGUUUAAAAGUACUACAACCUUAGAGGGGAAUUGUUUCAAGGCUAUACAAGUGUUUGGGCACCACAUUGACUCCUUUGGGGAGUUUACGGCCCAAAGACCCUUCUCCCUUGGAGUUUACGGCCGUAAACUCCCUUGGGAGGGUUCUUAUUGUCCUUUCAAGUCUCUAACAUUUCUAGGAACAAGUCUAGGCUUCAAUACUUGGAUCAAGGGAGGUUUAUGGCAUUAAAUGGAACCAUUUGAUGGAGUUUACGGCCAUAGAACUCUUUGGGCCGUAAACUCCCUCACACAUGAGGUUCUAAGAAUUUUAACUAGCCCAAAACUCAUCUAGGUACUUGCCCUAAAAGUCUCUUGGCCUAAGGAAGUGUCUAGGGUGUCCUUUGACCCCUUUAAAGGAGUUUACGGCCCAAGAAAUACUCUUGGCCGUAAACUCUUCAACACUUGAGCUUUUCAUGAUUUUUCUAGGUCCUAAACACAUUAAGGUACUAGCCAAAAAUGAAGACUAAGCCUUAGGAAGAGUUUGAAGUGGUUUUGGCACUUAAUCUUGGAGUUUACGGCCUAAGGAGCAUCUUGGCCGUAAACUCCCUUCCAAAGUUGGUUUCUAAUUGUUUUGUGGGUCUAAAUCAUGAGUUUAAGGCUUCUAGGUUCUUGUUCUAAGGCUAAAGGAACACUAGGCACUCAUUUGUGCCCUUUACUUGGAGUUUACGGCCCAAGAGGUUGUUCCUUGGCCGUAAACUCCUCAAACUACUUGCUUUUGAUUUGUUUCUAGCCUCUAAUGAUCAUACACUAAGUCCUUAGUUAGAUGCCUAACACGGAAAUGGGACUAGGUGGCCUUUAGGCUUGAUUUUGGAGUUUACUCCCCAAGAACGUUCUUGGGCGGUAAACUCCCGGAUCUUGUGUUUUGGACAUGUAAACAAUGUUAUAAAGCAUAUAACAAGUAUUAAAACACAUUUAGGGAAGUAGACUCACAAUCUGGGAUGAAAACCCGAAGAUCCGUGAGAGAGUAUUUGGCUUUUCUCUAAUUGGAAAUCAAAUAAUGAACCAAUUUGGUUCAGAAUUCUAUUUAUAGUCCAGAGAUUUUUGUUAGAAAAUAUUUCUAUUCUCGAAAUGGAUUCUAAUGACCUAGAGUAAUGGAUUUACAGUGUUGCACAAAAUCCUAGUGCAACCACUAUCCUAAUAACUCCUUAGGUGUAAAACCCUAAAACUGCCAAACUUAUUCCAAAAGUUUGAAUUCUCACUGAAACUGCUCUACUACUAUUGGAUUGAUGUGGUUUGAUUUGAAUGGAAAAUUUCGGGUUGUCACAUCAUCCCCCUGUUAAAGGGAAUUUCGUCCCGAAGUUAGAAUUUAGGCAAGGAAGUAUGCACGAAUGAUCGAGACGUGAGAAGGAAACUUCCUAAUCG
rnacentral:lncRNA from 1 species